CGUAGGUGCAGCGCCCCGCCCGCCCCCGCGCAGGUGCCGGCGGUUGGACGGAGCCGCGCCCGGCGGGGGCAGGAUGUCCACUCGGCCGCAGUUGAGUCGUUGUGUUUUCAAACUCGGAGAUGCGGACAAGAGGCUGAGAAUUUUGCAAGAACAGAGGGACGCACGGGGCUGUCAGAAAGGUGCUGUUUUGCUGCCGAUAAACACGCCUGCCCUCUCCAAGUGCUAACUUGAGAGCAUCUUGACAAUGGCUAUUGAUACCAUCGCUUCGCUGGGAUCACUGCUUUGAUCUGAAGCAUUAGUGGAGUGAGAAGUACCUUCUAACAGAAGCAGUUUCUUUCUUGCCUUACAUAUAUGAUGAGAUGCUGACCUAAAUGUAGAAUCUUCACUGAAGGAUGUGAUGAGCAGAUUAAAGACGUCUUUCCCUCUGGACUUGCAAGAGCAAAAGCUGGAGGACAUGGUUUGUACUAAAUACAAUUGCAGAGUAAUAUAAGUGCUCACAUGGCCUCAAGGUCACUCUAAAUGAAUCACACAAGAUGCCACACCAUAACUGCCCUUAUGAAGGUCUUUCAGUGAAGAAUGCUGUGAGAAAGUCAGUUGUGUCCAUUGUCAUCUUUAAGAAGGGUAUCUUUGGGAUAAGACGGUCAUCUAAACAUCCUGUGUAAUGUGCAACUCAGGGGUGCACAUUUAAAGAGGAAUUAAUUCUAAAUUUCAUAAAUGUGGUAUGUAAAACUUAUUUAAAGCCUCUACUAUAAAUUAGGGACAGUUUUCCGGAAGAUUCCUAAACCAAGCCUUAUUGUCAAGCUGAGGAUGUUACAAAAUGCGGGGAAGAACAGAGCAAAGUGUGUGCUUUGCAGAAGCAGAUAGUUGAAAUAAGCUUAAAUUAUUACCAGUUGUUGGCAGUGUAACCUGCAUGUAUACAGGAUCCUCUUGUCUUCAAAAGAAAAAAUAAAAACAAGAAACGGUGCACAAUUAGAUCUUUUCAAGUACAAUUAUAUUCGAAGAAAAAGAAAAAAGCCACAUAUGCUUUUUUUUUCCCUUUAAGCAUUCUAAACAGAAAAAGAAAACAGCUUUAGGAAUUUGCCACAUCGAGAAGGAAUAGAGCUUUGAAUAGGAAUUGAUUAGUAAAGGACACAGAAAAGAAAAAGCAACUCUCUAAUGAAAGUAAAUCUAGAAAACAAGAGUGCAUAUGCGUCCUUUUGGCCUGACAGUCCUAGAAGACAAAUUUCCCAUAGUGCCAAGGCUCCAACAAGGCUUAAAGGAGAAGGAAACUUGGGAAGUUUCAAGGCCAAUGUCAGAGUGGCAAUGGGAUACUGAGGAAUGCGCAUAUGCACUGAGGUGAAAUGCUUUCUGGAAAGCAGGAAGAAAAAGAGCAAAACAUGAAAUCCAGGGAUAUUGGGAGGCACCAGUGUAAGAAAUAAUUAAGUGUGGACAACUGCUGUCACUACCCCUGUUAAGGCAUGACUCUGCCUUUUGAGUAAGGCCAGCACUAUCAAGGUUUAGAGUGACUUUUUGCAUAAGAUGGAAACAGGAAAAACUUCUAUUUAGUCACUAAGGAAUAUACGGCUGACCUUCUAAGGGCUGUUUAUCCCCAGUUAUUGGCUGAAAUCCAACUCUAAUAAAUUACAUUUUGCCUAUGAUCUUUAUAUUCACCUUAUUGUUUCAAAUGGAUGUUUCUCCACUCUGCCUUGACCAGGGCAGCAGUGGCAAACAAGAAAACACCUGCCGUGUCUCACUCCAGAAUACUACGUAACACAAUGCCUGUACGAGACGUAGAUUUAUGCAAAAUGUAAAGGCUCUACUAGAAGCACUAAAUUCUGAAAUCAGUAACUGAACGUGCUGGCUGACGUCUGUGUUUUCUUGUGAUCUGCUCUUAAAAACCCUUUUGCACUUAAUCAAUGUGAGUCGUCCUAAUUGUAAAAAAAACAAAAAAUGAAACCUACAGAAGAUCUCAGCAAGAUAUUUGGUUACCUCUUGCACAAAUUAUUUCUCGGUCUGUCUAAAAUACAGCUCUGGAGGGAAACAUGAAACUUUUAGCAGUUUUUAGUGGGCCAGUUUCCCCUAAGUCAUAAGUAGUGGCACCCAGGACUUGUUAUGAAACAGAAGCCUUUGGCCUCAAAUUAACACAGUGCAACAUUUGGAACAUCAACUGCUCUACACAAAGAAACUUCUGUUUGGGAACACACUAAGUUUUUGCAAGCCAAGGAGUUUCCUUGUUGCACAAAACCUGUAACAGUGUCAUGAAUAAACAACAAUUUUAAACAUGCUAGAGAUAGGAUAGGAAUCUGCCAUGCCUCUCAGUACAUGACCUAGGCAUUAGAAUAAAUACAAGAGAUAACACAGUCAAUAGCUUCUGGUCUUGACUAAACACGUUAAAAGUGGUUUAAUACUGAAUACAAACUAGAUUCUCCCUGUCUUAUUCUUCUGUAUAGGAAAACUUAUCCCCACCUUGAACUUCCAUUCAUUCUUUCCAUCGUGAGAAAGGGAAGACGAACCUGCUCUUAAGCCAUAAUCCUUUCCUGUUUAUUCCUUUGUGUAAUGGAGAAGUCAACCAACUAAAUGAGGACAGAGGGUCUGAGGUCCUUUAUAUUUUUGUUUUCUAGGGCCUGCUAAAAGUCUGCUACGGUCUCUGCUGCCUGUAGAAAUGCUUUGUAAUCUUGGUGAUGCUCAGUUUUUACUUCAUGGUGUAACAGAUGUGUCAUUUAGAAUAGAUUCCACCUCAGAAAAUCAGGAUGCCAUAUCAAUUUUCAGGAGACAGAAAGCAGGGUAAAGCUGGAAUUUGUUACAGGGAAUUCCAUGACUUUAGUUCAGACAUUGGGAACGUCUCGUCUCACUGUUUUUUCGGUACUUUUCGUGCUGGAUUACCUAUUAAUUUCAGCCAUUGAUUUUCACAGAAAACGUGUUUGAAAAUUUCUUUCCUCACGUUUCAGUUCACACAUUUCAGUUAAAAAUGUAUUUUGGAUCCACAAAAAUUAAGAUUACAUCUUGACCUGGAUGUCAGACACAUUAUGUAAGAAAAGACCUGUUUUUAAACCUCCUUUUCCUGCCAAAGUGCGUAAUAACAGUUCUCCACUUCUUUCUAAUGACUAACAACUCUUCUAACAGCCCUUCACUGCCUAGUCACAUUCAUCACAGUUAUCAAUUUUCUUCCUGUAUCGUUUACUUGUUAAACAGGGAACCAUUUAGUCAAUCCACCAUAGGAUCCCAAAGUGCCUGCAAUUUAAGUAUGAAAGGCAGACAAGAAACAGAGCAAUUAGCAAGCUAGAUUGCAGUCCUUGUUCAAAAAAAGUCUGUGCACUGCUUUCGGGUUUUUUUUCUGUCACUACUUUGUAUAUCUUGCAUUAACUACUAAAAACAGUCAAAUUUGUAACCUUGGGUAGUCUUUAAAAUAUUGAUACUUGAAAUCUAAUUUGGAGAUUCUUCCUGACUGUGCUUUUUCUGACUUCAAAUAAGUCACCAUCCUUUCAUGGCUCUUUU